CCUACGGGAGGCAGCAGUAGGGAAUCUUCCGCAAUGGACGAAAGUCUGACGGAGCAACGCCGCGUGAGCGAUGAAGGCCUUCGGGUCGUAAAGCUCUGUUGUUAGGGAAGAACAAGUAUCGGAGUAACUGCCGGUACCUUGACGGUACCUGACCAGAAAGCCACGGCUAACUACGUGCCAGCAGCCGCGGUAAUACGUAGGUGGCAAGCGUUGUCCGGAAUUAUUGGGCGUAAAGCGCGCGCAGGCGGUUCCUUAAGUCUGAUGUGAAAGCCCGGGGCUCACCCCCGGAAGGGCAUUGGAAACUGGCGGACUCGAGUCCCGGAGAGGAGGGUGGAAUUCCUGGUGUAGCGGUGAAAUGCGUAGAUAUCAGGAGGAACACCGGUGGCGAAGGCGGCCCUCUGGACGGUGACUGACGCUAAGACGCGAAAGCGUGGGGAGCAAACAGGAUUAGAUACCCUGGUAGUCCACGCUGUAAACGAUGAGCACUAGGUGUCGUGGGUAUUGACCCCCGCGGUGCCGCAGCUAACGCAUUAAGUGCUCCGCCUGGGGACUACGGCCGCAAGGUUAAAACUCAAAGGAAUUGACGG
rnacentral:rRNA from 1 species